AUGGAGAGCUCCUACAAGUUCAUGGUGAAGCACGUGCAGCUCUGGAAGGUGGCAUUCGACGGCACAUCGCCCAGAUUUUCCCACAACUUCUACCACGCCGCCCUCGCCUCCUUGUAUGCCAAGUACGUACAGAUUGCUUCUCUCCCACUCACGGCUCACCAAUUUCAUUUUACGGUCACUGCAACAUUUUUCUUGCUCGACCUCCUCACACACAUCGUCGGGAUCGUAAACAAACAAAUGAACAAUUCGACCUAA
rnacentral:rRNA from 1 species